AGUGAACGCUGGCGGUAGGCCUAACACAUGCAAGUCGAACGGCAGCACAGUAAGAGCUUGCUCUUACGGGUGGCGAGUGGCGGACGGGUGAGGAAUACAUCGGAAUCUACUUUUUCGUGGGGGAUAACGUAGGGAAACUUACGCUAAUACCGCAUACGACCUACGGGUGAAAGCAGGGGAUCUUCGGACCUUGCGCGAUUGAAUGAGCCGAUGUCGGAUUAGCUAGUUGGCGGGGUAAAGGCCCACCAAGGCGACGAUCCGUAGCUGGUCUGAGAGAAUGAUCAGCCACACUGGAACUGAGACACGGUCCAGACUCCUACGGGAGGCAGCAGUGGGGAAUAUUGGACAAUGGGCGCAAGCCUGAUCCAGCCAUCCCGCGUGGGUGAAGAAGGCCUUCGGGUUGUAAAGCCCUUUUGUUGGGAAAGAAAAGCAGCAGGUUAAUACCCCGCUGUUCUGACGGUACCCAAAGAAUAAGCACCGGCUAACUUCGUG
rnacentral:rRNA from 1 species